CGUGGUUAACCUGCCCUUGGGACGGAAACACCCCCGGGAAACUGGGGCUAAUUUCCGAUAGGUGAAGACUCCUGGAAUGGAUCUUCGCCUAAAGGGCGCUUAGGCCAUGCUUCUAAGCGCUGCCCAAGGAUGGGACCGCGGCCGAUCAGGUUGUUGGUGAGGUAAUGGCUCACCAAGCCUUUAACCGGUUCGGGCCGUGGGAGCGGGAGCCCGGAGAUGGGCACUGAGACAAGGGCCCAGGUCCUACGGGGCGCAGCAGUCGCGAAAACUCCGCAAUACGCGAAGGCGUGACGGGGCUAUCCCGAGUGCCGUCCGCUGAGGAUGGCUUUUCCCCAGUGUAGAUAGCUGGGGGAAUAAGGAGAGGGCAAGUCUGGUGUCAGCCGCCGCGGUAAUACCAGCUCUCCGAGUGGUGGGGACGUUUAUUGGGCCUAAAGCAUCCGUAGCCAGCUGAGCAAGUCCCCAGUUAAAUCCAGCGAUUUAAUCGUUGGACUGCUGGGGAUACUGUCCGGCUAGGGGGUGGGAGAGGCCGACGGUAUUCCCGGGGUAGGGGUGAAAUCCUAUAAUCCCGGGAGGACCACCAGUGGCGAAGGCCGUUGGCUAAAACAUGCCCGACGGUGAGGGAUGAAAGCUGGGGGAGCGAACCGGAUUAGAUACCCGGGUAGUCCCAGCUGU
rnacentral:rRNA from 1 species